rnacentral:rRNA from 1 species
AGCGGCGGACGGGUGAGUAACGCGUGGGUAACCUGCCCUAUACACACGGAUAACAUACCGAAAGGUAUGCUAAUACGAGAUAAUAUAAGAGAUUCACAUGGAUUUCUUAUCGAAGCUGAGGCGGUAUAGGAUGGACCCGCGUCUGAUUAGCUAGUUGGUAAGGUAACGGCUUACCAAGGCGACGAUCAGUAGCCGACCUGAGAGGGUGAUCGGCCACAUUGGAACUGAGACACGGUCCAAACUCCUACGGGAGGCAGCAGUGGGGAAUAUUGCACAAUGGGCGAAAGCCUGAUGCAGCAACGCCGCGUGAGUGAUGAAGGCCUUCGGGUCGUAAAACUCUGUCCUCAAGGAAGAUAAUGACGGUACUUGAGGAGGAAGCCCCGGCUAACUACGUGCCAGCAGCCGCGGUAAUACGUAGGGGGCUAGCGUUAUCCGGAUUUACUGGGCGUAAAGGGUGCGUAGGUGGUCUCUUAAGUCAGGAGUGAAAGGCUACGGCUUAACCGUAGUAAGCUCUUGAAACUGGGAGACUUGAGUGCAGGAGAGGAAAGUGGAAUUCCUAGUGUAGCGGUGAAAUGCGUAGAUAUUAGGAGGAACACCAGUAGCGAAGGCGGCUUUCUGGACUGUAACUGACACUGAGGCACGAAAGCGUGGGGAGAAAACAGGAUUAGAUACCCUGGUAGUCCACGCCGUAAACGAUGAGUACUAGGUGU